AGAGUUUGAUCCUGGCUCAGAACGAACGCUGGCGGCGUGCCUAACACAUGCAAGUCGAGGGAGAAAGCCGCAAGGCGAGUAAACCGGCGAACGGGUGCGUAACACGUGGAUAAUCUACCUUCCUGACCGGGACAACUGGCCGAAAGGCUUGCUAAUACCGGAUAAGACCACGGGCACUUCGGUGCUUGAGGGAAAAGGUG
rnacentral:rRNA from 1 species